GCAGAUGAUGAGAGUUACCCCCACUGAUCUGAUGAUGAUGCAGGGAACUGAUGC
rnacentral:snoRNA from 1 species